UACGGGGGGGGCAAGCGUUGUCCGGAAUUAUUGGGCGUAAAGAGCGUGUAGGCGGCCCGAUUAGUCCGCUGUGAAAGUCCAGGGCUCAACCCUGGAAUGCCGGUGGAUACUGUCGGGCUAGAGUCCGGAAGGGGCGAGUGGAAUUCCUGGUGUAGCGGUGAAAUGCGUAGAUAUCCGGAGGAACACCGGUGGCGAAGGCGGCUUCCUGGACCGACACUGACGCUGAGGCGCGAAAGCUAGGGGAGCAAACGGG
rnacentral:rRNA from 1 species